rnacentral:rRNA from 1 species
AGUGGGGGACAACGUGGGGAAACUCACGCUAAUACCGCAUACGCCCUACGGGGGAAAGCGGGGGACCUUCGGGCCUCGCGCUAACAGAUGAGCCUGCGUUGGAUUAGCUAGUUGGUAGGGUAAAGGCCUACCAAGGCGACGAUCCAUAGCUGGUCUGAGAGGACGAUCAGCCACACUGGGACUGAGACACGGCCCAGACUCCUACGGGAGGCAGCAGUGGGGAAUAUUGGACAAUGGGCGCAAGCCUGAUCCAGCAAUACCGCGUGUGUGAAGAAGGCCUGAGGGUUGUAAAGCACUUUCAAUGGGGAGGAACACCUGCCGGCCAAUACCCGGCAGCUUGACAUUACCCAUAGAAGAAGCACCGGCUAACUCCGUGCCAGCAGCCGCGGUAAUACGGAGGGUGCGAGCGUUAAUCGGAAUUACUGGGCGUAAAGCGUGCGUAGGCGGUGCGCUAAGUCAGAUGUGAAAGCCCCGGGCUUAACCUGGGAACUGCAUUUGAAACUGGCGUACUUGAGUUGAGUAGAGGGGAGUGGAAUUUCAGGUGUAGCGGUGAAAUGCGUAGAUAUCUGAAGGAACACCAGUGGCGAAGGCGACUCCCUGGACUCAAACUGACGCUGAGGUACGAAAGCGUGGGUAGCAAACAGGAUUA